rnacentral:SRP_RNA from 1 species
GCCGGGCAUGGUGGCGUGUGCCUGUAAUCCCAGCUACUCAGGAGGCUGAGGCAGGAGAAUUGCUAGAGCCUGGGAGGCAGAGGUUGCAGUGAGAUGAGAUCACACCACUGCACUCCAGCCUGGGUGACACAGCGAUACUGUGUCUCUU